CUCGCCACACAUUGCAGUUGCUAUGCAAAUUUGCUGUAGUUUUUACCGGACUGCAUGUUCUGCAUCCUCCCAGCCUUUCAGUCACUGUUUCCAUUUUGGUCAAAUGUCCCAACUUAAUGGUUCUGUCUUGCAGUGACAAUCGGCUAAAAGGAAUUUGGGAAGAGAAUGAUGCUUCCCAUCAAGAAUCUGAAACUUUAAUAAGGCAUACAUGUGUGGUUUGCCUUCUAACUGGCUCACUGCUACUUAUAUGCAUAUUUACAGGACGCAGCAAUUAAAACAAAAGAAUAGAGUAAUAUUGCCCAGAAUGGCAGGAGCUAUGCCAUUGUUUAGUUGUUUUCACUCGAUCAGCUUUUGUGCCAAGAUAUGUGGAUGCUUAUGCGGUGAAGUGAUGGCCAUUGUAUUGUCUUUGUGCCAGGAGCACACGAGCCAUUAGCAUCACUCAUGGCACCUCUCAUGCACAGAUGCUCUUGAUGCUUCUCUCUGUUAUAAGCCUAUAAAACCAGUUUUACUCUCUUAAGAGAUGUGGCUGAAUGGCAGAGUGAGGAGGAAAAUUACCCUGUCUUGGACAUUAAGCUAAGUAAUAAUAUCUGUCUCACUUUGCUUUACCAAAUUCAUUGACCUAUUUAUUUUGUAAGUCAUAUUUGAAAAGAACAAACAAAGAAUCAGUAAACAAUGUCUCAUACAGUUGGCCCAAAGUUUCAGUAACUAAAUUGUUUAUGCAGCAAGGCAUGAAUGUUUAAAACCAACUCUGGCUAAUAGGCUAAGUGUGUUUCUGGAUGUCAUUUGCUUGGUUCAUUUGGCACUUCGACCAAAGCUCCAGUUAGCAUCUUCUACAUAAUAGUUCGUUCAGUUAAGUGUAUUGUUGAAAAGUUCCUAGAUUUUUUUUUGAUGAUCAGAUAGGUGCAGAUCCAUUUAAUCUAUUUUUUAGCAUAUUAGAUUUAUCAAAGUUGCUAUUCCAGGCAGUCUUGUUGCAUUUUGGAAUGUCUGCUCUUAGGCUCAAAGCAUUCCAGCUCAUUGCUUAGAAGAGAAGGAUUAUGUCUUCUCUCCUUGCAUAAUCAAUAAAAUUGCUUAUUUCCAAUGCUUAAGGUUAAAAAGAUUUACUUGUGCUAUGUUAUGGCUGAUUAGCUAUAUAUACAAGUUUUUUUUUAAACAUUAGUAGUACAACUAGAUUUGAAAAUACAGUGAGGCUCAUUACAUGAUUUAUAGAUGGAUUUUAGGAAGAAAAUUAGCAACUGUACUGCAUUCUGAUUUUAUUUGAACUGUGCUAGACUUUAGGUCGUUGUGACUGAAUGGCUUUAGGUCAUUGUGACAGGUGGCUAUGAGUGUCAAUGACAUUGUAACUUCAGGUGCAAGACCUUUGACCUCUUUUGCUCAUGGCUAUUUUAAUUUUGCUCAUAAUGUCUUUAUGGUUUAUGAAGGUUAUCAAGGGGAUUGUGGAUGGCUGUCUACAAUCUGAUUGCACUCUCAUACCAUAGGAGGUGAGUUUUUAAAAUUACCAUGAUUUAACAAUUUAACGAUUGCACUCUCAUACCAUAGGAGGUGAGUUUUUAAAAUUACCAUGAUUUAACAAUUUAACCAGUGGUGGACCAGGAUGGUUAGUGUGCUGAAGGAGAGAGUUGGGCGAGCAGUGGUCGAGGCAAUAGUUAGAGGGAACACUCCACACAUCCUGGUAUUACUAACCAAUUGGUACGAUGCAGGGAAGAUGGCCAGAGUGGUAGGACGGGCUCAGGGCAGGAGGAGCACUUGUUAGUUAAGUGGAAGAAGACCAUAUCCUCAGCUCAAUUUUGGAUGCAAACUGGUUACUUGUACUCUUGGGAUGCUGGUGUUUGCUGUGCAACUGUAUUGGUUCAGUGUAUUGGUUUUAGAUUUUGAGUGUGUGCCAUAUUCUUGGUACAUCCGUACAUGGCCAAUUAUUAAUGUUUGAUGUCCUUGAUUUGUUGGUUCCUGCAUGCGCAUUAGUGCCAAGAAGGGACAUGUUCUGCUUAGCAAUCUCAAGGCGCUCGCCAACUUCGGUGUGGAGGCAUAGAAGAUGGAAGGUCUGUUGGAAAAUUUUAGGUGUGGAGGAAUCCAAUUUUUUAUCCGUAGCGUUAGCACGGCCACACUUACUAUGAUGUUGAAAUUGUUGAUGUGGUUUUGUCAGUCUCUACAUUAGUAAUGCAUGUCUAUUUGUAAUUGACCAACCGUGAUAUCUGAUUAUAUGUAUUAAGCUACUUUGUAAUUUUUCAUUAGCUUCUGUACGACAUUGCAAAUUAUAAAUGGUAGCUCUUGUUUUAUC